AUUGAACGCUGGCGGCAGGCCUAACACAUGCAAGUCGAGCGGAACGGCGGACGGGUGAGUAAUUCCUAGGAAUCUGCCUGGUCGUGGGGGAUAACUUCCGGCAACGGGCGCUAAUACCGCAUACUAUCAGAUGAGCCUAGGUAGGAUUAGCUAGUUGGUGGGGUAAAGGCAUACGAAGGCGACGAUCCGUAACUGGCUUGAGAGGAUGAUCAGUCACACUGGAAUUGGACCACGGUCCGGACUCCAACGGGGGUCAGAAGAGGGGAAUAUUGGACAAUGGGCGAAAGCCUGAUCCAGCAAUGCGGCGUGUGUGAAGAAGGUCUUCGGAUUGUAAAGCCCUUUGAGUUGGGAGGCGGUACCAACAGAAUAAGCAACGGCUAACUUCGUGCCAGCAGCCGCGGUAAUAC
rnacentral:rRNA from 1 species